UACGUAGGGUGCAAGCGUUAAUCGGAAUUACUGGGCGUAAAGGGUACGCAGGCGGCUAGGAAAGAAAGAUGUGAAAUCCCAGGGCUCAACCUUGGAACUGCAUUUUUAACUACCUAGCUAGAGUAUGUCAGAGGGGGGUAGAAUUCCACGUGUAGCAGUGAAAUGCGUAGAGAUGUGGAGGAAUACCGAUGGCGAAGGCAGCCCCCUGGGAUAAUACUGACGCUCAGGUACGAAAGCGUGGGGAGCAAACAGG
rnacentral:rRNA from 1 species